rnacentral:rRNA from 1 species
CAAUAGCGUAUAUUAACGUUGUUGCAGUUAAAAAGCUCGUAGUUGGAUUUCUGGAGGGAGCGUCGGCCCGUAUUUACGAGUGCGUGACGUCUCUGUCCAUCCUUGCGGGAAGGCCCGGCAUUGAUUUGUUGUGUCGGAUCGCAUCAUUUACUGUGAAAAAAUUAGAGUGUUCAAAGCAGGCUUUCGCUUGAAUACAUUAGCAUGGAAUAAUAAGAUAGGACUUUGGUGCUAUUUUGUUGGUUGAGCCUAAAGUAAUGAUUAAUAGGGAUAGUUGGGGGCACCUGUAUUGCGUUGUCAGAGGUGAAAUUCUUGGAUUUACGCAAGACAAACAGCUGCGAAAGCGUCUGCCAAGGAUGUUUNCAUUAA